rnacentral:rRNA from 1 species
UUCCUUCGAGCGGGGAAUAGCCCAGAGAAAUUUGGAUUAAUACCCCAUAGUAUAUUGUGGUGGCAUCACUAUGAUAUUAAAGAUUUAUCACUUGAAGAUGGCUGUGCGUCUGAUUAGGUAGUUGGUGGGGUAACGGCCCACCAAGCCAGCGAUCAGUAACUGGUGUGAGAGCACGACCAGUCACACGGGCACUGAGACACGGGCCCGACUCCUACGGGAGGCAGCAGUAAGGAAUAUUGGUCAAUGGACGCAAGUCUGAACCAGCCAUGCCGCGUGGAGGAUGAAGGUCCUCUGGAUUGUAAACUUCUUUUAUCUGGGACGAAAAAGGGCCUUUCUAGGUCAACUGACGGUACCAGAUGAAUAAGCACCGGCUAACUCCGUGCCAGCAGCCGCGGUAAUACGGAGGGUGCAAGCGUUAUCCGGAUUCACUGGGUUUAAAGGGUGCGUAGGCGGGCAUGUAAGUCCGUGGUGAAAUCUCCGAGCUUAACUCGGAAACUGCC